rnacentral:lncRNA from 1 species
AUGAUUGCAGUGCUACUUGCAGAAAUAAAGAGAUCGGAAGAGCGGCUCUUCCGAUCUCCGAGCGCCCUGCCUCAGCUGCGGGCCCGGGGGGCCCAGCGCCGAGCACACGGCGGCACACGGGGCUCUCCGGGCAGCGCCGCAACACCUCCGGCACCGAGGGCGGGCCAGCCGGGCCCUCGGGCCCGCAGCCGAACCCGGGAGACCCGCACCGCUGCGGCCCGGCCUUUAGCGAGGCCAAGGGCAGAGCAAGCGGGGCCGGAGAAGUUUGAUCCCCGUGCCCCGGCCCGGCCCCUCACGGGACCAGCCCCCGGGCAGAGUGUGGGGCCGGCGGAGUUCGAUCCCCGUGCCCCGGUCCGGCCCGGCCCGUCACGGGACCAGCCCCCGGACAGAGUGUGGGGCCGGCGGAGUUCGAUCCCCGUGCCCCGGUCCGGCCCGGCCCGUCACGGGACCAGCCCCCGGACAGAGUGUGGGGCCGGCGGAGUUCGAUCCCCGUGCCCCGGUCCGGCCCGGCCCGUCACGGGACCAGCCCCCGGACAGAGUGUGGGGCCGGCGGAGUUCGAUCCCCGUGCCCCGGUCCGGCCCGGCCCGUCACGGGACGCCGUUCACGUUGCGGUUGGAUUUGAUGGUCCCUGUGGGUCCUUCCCGACUCGGAAUAUUCUGUGAUCCUGAUGGAUUCCUGCCCCAGCCACCGCCCUAUGCCAUCGGCACUCCGUUUUUUAACGUUCCCCUUAUUUUUUUUUUUCUCUUUUAUCUUUUUUUGGACAAGACCACAGAGUUGUCAAUAUGAGCAGGAAAAUUAAAGUUCAGAGGAAGAGAGAGGGCUCUGGUCUACCCAAAAUGCUGCCACCGCCCUUGCAGUCAUUUUACACAGACAACUGCUAAAAACUAAAAGUACACACUGGUCCCAUGCCCCACGCAUUGGGUUUCACACACAAAUCCACAGAGCCGGAGACAUCCCCAAGUUCACUUUCUAGAGCUGGUUUCCACCAUCUCAUGCCAGGCAGGGAAUAACACAGCAGUGGCUGAUAGGUAGGUCCAGACUGUGCCCAUGGCACAAACAGAGCCCGUCUGCAGUUUGUGAUGUGGGUGUGGGACUGCUCUCCAAAGCAGAGCUGUGAUCGUUGCCAGCUAAGCCAUAAAGGUGUUAAACGAGUAGGGGGAGUGUUUACAUCUAAAUCACGCUGAUGCGACUGAGGUUCUCCAUUCCUCAGCUUGCCAAGGAAGCAGAAAACCACAAGUUCCAUACGGGUUUUAUAAGAGGAAAAAUGAGACUGUUUCAACAGCCUGCAAAGCCGUGACCAGCUGGACCGUGGCAGACUGUAAGUGUGUAAUAAAUGGACUACACAGCUACCAAAUUUUCCUCCAAGGCACAAUGAAAAUGUUAAUUAAUUACCAUUGUGCAAUCCUUUAUACUAUUCAGAUUACUUUUAAAGUAAGAUUAUUGGUAGACUUUACCAAGACAAAUAUUGAAAACAGAUUAGUGCAAACACUCCCACUUAAAAAAAAAAAAUCUUUCCCUCCCAUCCCACCUGAUUGUGCUGAAACUUAAUUUGGGAGGUUUUGAUGAUGAAACGGUAUCUGGCAUAAGACGUGUCUGAUUUGAGAGAAACAGACCUUCUCAUCUCAAUAUGAUUUCCUCCUCUUUCUCCAUUUUCACUACAAAAAGGCUGACUGGUUCUAUCUUGACUUAAACAUAGCAUUUUGGGUUGCACAGAAAAGCGAGUGACCCAUUAGGUCAAUUAAACGCAAACACGAACACGGUUUCAAGUUCAAUACUUUCUUUCCUCUGGCAACAGAAAGAGAACACUAAGCAUGUAAACAGUUACAUCAUGUUGCCUAAAAUGUGUUGCUCUAGGAGAGAAACACGCAUCCUACAGAUUUCUGGCGUACUAGAACAUGCAAAAAGACAAAAAGCCAAAAUAAACAAAACCAAAAAAACCCCCCAAAACAACAGGAAAACCACCACCACCACAACCCCAAAAAGACAGAGAUGUCACAGUGCUGGCACAAAGUACAAAUGCUCAUCUAAAUCUAGGAGAAAAGUGUGUAAGGCUAUUUAUCAGAUGGAUGCUCUGUGAAAAUACAUUAAACCAAAGCAUAAAUUACUUUCAAAGACAAUGCACAUCGUAAGCAUCUCUUUUAUUUAUUGUAAUGUAAAG